rfam:Pan troglodytes isolate Yerkes chimp pedigree #C0471 (Clint) chromosome 3, whole genome shotgun sequence.
UAUUAGGUUGGUGCAAAAGUAAUUGCGAUUUUUGCCAUUACUUUUAAUGGCAAAAACUGCAAUUACUUUUGCACCAACCUAAAA